AUCUCAGUAUGCAAACAGAAUGGUGUCAGCAGUAUCUGACUGCAAGAAGAGCUUGUCCCUGUAAACUUGUACGCAGCCCUUGGGUUGCAGAUGGAGCAGACAAAUGGCUAUCCGGCAUUUAUACAGACUAGAAGGAGCAGUCCUUGAGAGUAGCCCUGCAGAGAAGGACCUGGGGGUCCUGAUGGAUGAAAAACCAAACAUGAGCCAGCAGUGUGCUCUUGCAGCUUGGAAAGCAAAUGGUAUCCCGGGCUUCAUCUGAAGAGGGGUGGCCAGCAGGGACAGGGAGGUGAUUGUUCCUCUCUGCUCUUGAGAGGUCCCAUCUGGAGUACUGUGUCCAGGUAUGGAGCCCCCAGUACAAGAAAGACAGAGAGCUGUUGUAGAGGAUCCAGAGGAGGGCCACAAAGAUGAUCAGGGAGCUGGAGCACCUCCCCUACAAAGACAGGCUGAGGGAGCCGGGAUUGUUCAGCCUGGAGAAAAGAAAGCUGUGGGGUGACCUAAUUGCAGCCUUCCAGUACCUAAAGGGAGCAUACACAAACAGGAGGGGAGUCAACUCUUUACAAGGGUAGAUAACAGCAGGACAAGGGGAAAUGGUUUUAAAUUGAGGGAGGCAAGAUUUAGGUUGGAUAUCAGGGGGGAAGUUCUUUACUGAGAGAGUGGUGAGGUGCUGGAACAGGCUGCCCAGAGAGGUUGCGGAUGCUCUGUCCCUGGAGGUGUUCAAGGCCGGGUUGGAUCAGGUCCUGGGCAGCCUGGUCUAGUAUUAAAUGGGGAGGUUGGUGGCCUUGCCUGUGGCAGGGGAGUUGCGGCUUGUUGAUCUUUGAUGUCCCUUCCAACCUGGGCCAUUCUGUGAUUCUGUUAUCAUGCCUUAAUGAUGAUGAUUUUAAAGGCAUAAGCAGUAGGAAGAACAGAUUUGUUGAAUGUUUGAACUCUUUGUGCUCUCUGGUGCUGUGCAACAGGCAAUGCUUAAAAAUGGAAUCCUCUUUCCUCUUGCAGCCCCUUUCUUGGUGAUUCCUCAGAGGGAUGAAGCCAUGCCCAGAGCCCGCUGGUGAAUGGGCAGCUGGAACCCAGCAGUGAGAGCAGGAGCUGGGGUGGCAAGCUUGAGAGGCUGCUGGCAGGACAUCUGCCCAAAGAAUAAUUCAAGUUUUGCUGUUUGCUCAGUCUUACAUCAAAAGUCUAUGACAGAAUUAAGAGUUAUUUCUCUACAGUAACACAGUCCAUGAUGAAAGAACUGAACCGAUUUUCUGAAGACCUGGGAUAAAUUCCUAACUCUUUCACAACUCCUGCAUCUUCUGAGGGAGGUCCAAGAGAUCAUGCUCUGUUUAUUCAGUUUCAGCCUCCUUGUGCAAGACUACUAGGAGCCAACUGUGGAAACAAAUCUCUCAGCUGCUGGAGCUAUCAAGUAAUCAAGAUAUUACUCAAGAGGCUAAAGCUCUUUUGACUUUCAACCUGGGGUCUGUGAGGUUGAUGUGAAGGGAUGCUUGCUCCACCUGUGGCUAAUUAACAAAGCCAAAGUGAAACAGAGCCCAAGAACUGUAAUAAUUAAUUUCCAUUUUGAAAUGAUGGGCUAUAACAUCUCUUCACCUCACGGACCCCCAUGCUCCCACACCCUGUAUAGAGGAAGAGAAAAAAUAAAAGAAGAGGAACAGCAGGCAAUAACUUUGUUGGGGAGCACAUCCCCUUUGUUUUAUACGGUACAAAUUACUAACAUGUUGCUGGAGGUCUAAAUCACUAGAGCAUAUGUGAAAAGUGGUAAGAGGAGACAUUUGAAAUGAAAAAAAUGUAUGCAUUCUGCCUCAAACCUUGAGAGUUGUUUGUUUCUAUGACUUCCUUACAAGCUACUCUUGGGUGGUUCCUGAGACAACCAUGUACUGAAGAUUCUCUUUGAAAUCUAGAUGUGGUUUAGACAUACCCUGCAGGCAGAAAAAUAUGUACCAUGUUGCUAUAACACACUAUGUAUAUUGCUGUAACAUGCUAUACAUGUUGCUAUAACAUUUAAGGAGUAAUGUAAUGAGAAAUAAAGGAAAAUAUUUUUAUAUUACUGUUUAUUACAUUUCAUCUAUUGUUUGUUAGCUGGCUAUAGAAGCUAAUACUUAUUCAGUUUUUACAAACAAUUCAAAUAUUGGGAAACAGUUGACAACAAAGUUCAAGAUCAAUGUACGAUAUGUGCUUACACAGUAGAUAGAAUAAUAUGGAUUGUAAAACUACGUAUAGAUUGUCUUUGUCCACAUGUAUACAUAGAUACCAUUGUAUAUGAAAACAUGUCAGCGAGUUUUGUUCAGUGUGAUUCUGGUUUGUGGACUUACUGAAGAUAUUACAAAAUUGGAAAUGAUAACUUAGAAGACACAAAUUUCAUUCUCUCUAAAAUGGUAAAAUAAAGAAGGAAAGUUAUGUGAAUCUGUACCAAGAACAUUGAACUAUGGACUAAACAAAUUAUGAUGGGUAUCUAGGAGAAUUUCCCAAGUGUAUCUUAUCACUUUCUCACAGCUAUACUGAUUACCAUCAAUUUGUCUGAAUUAUUUACCUUUUAAAAGGAUUUUCACUGCAGCUCAUCUAGUCCCCUUCCCUUCUAUUCCCUUUACUUAGUGCUCACAUGAUGCAACAGGAACCAUUUCAUGGAAUCUUUGAACUUGAGCUAAUGGAAUAUGACCUUGAAAAAAUGCAACUUGUUUAUUUCCAGCACUGAAAUAUCCUAGAAAUUUAUUUUGAUUGUUACUGAAUAUAGCACAAAGUGUCUGCAUUUUGGUUUUGCUCCUCAUUGUGCAUCAUGAUAUCCACGAGAACCUGUGGCUGAUGUGAAUUACAUACACAUUUACAUACUAUAAAUGGAGAAUGGCUUUCAGUGUGCGCUGUUUAAUAAAAAGGAAUAUAUGUGAACAUAUACCAUAGAGAAGCAGAUAAAUACAAACCAAAAUAUUGUUCUCUAUUUCUUCUUUAGAUAAUAACUCUCAGUAAAAAUAUUGAAGGAUCAUUUAACUCUGUCUCUACAACAUCUAGCUUGACCUUGAUAACAAUGCAGUUUUCUAGAAUAAAGCAAGUGUAGCACGUAUUCAGGACUGCUGAGCUUUGAGCAAUGUAUUGUAGGAAUUUGGCACUCUCAUUUAGCUCUGUUCUCAGAUUUGCC
ensembl:lncRNA